AUUGAACGCUGGCGGCAUGCCUUACACAUGCAAGUCGAACGGCAGGCACGGGAGCAAUCCUGGUGGCGAGUGGCGAACGGGUGAGUAAUAUAUCGGAACGUGCCCAGUCGUGGGGGAUAACGUAGCGAAAGCUACGCUAAUACCGCAUACGAUCUACGGAUGAAAGCGGGGGAUCGCAAGACCUCGCGCGAUUGGAGCGGCCGAUAUCAGAUUAGGUAGUUGGUGAGGUAAAGGCUCACCAAGCCGACGAUCUGUAGCUGGUCUGAGAGGACGACCAGCCACACUGGGACUGAGACACGGCCCAGACUCCUACGGGAGGCAGCAGUGGGGAAUUUUGGACAAUGGGCGCAAGCCUGAUCCAGCAAUGCCGCGUGCAGGAUGAAGGCCUUCGGGUUGUAAACUGCUUUUGUACGGAACGAAACGGUGAGCUCUAAUACAGUUUGCUAAUGACGGUACCGUAAGAAUAAGCACCGGCUAACUACGUG
rnacentral:rRNA from 1 species